AGCCGGGUCUUGCGCAAUGGUAGAGCGCGAAUCCCGCCAGGUCCGGAAGGAAGCAACGGUAGCAGCUCACACCAUGUGCCGCAAGGGUGCCUGGCUAUC
rfam:Deltaproteobacteria bacterium RIFCSPLOWO2_02_FTLL_53_8 rifcsplowo2_02_scaffold_24757, whole genome shotgun sequence.